AAAGUGGUUGGUGACACCAAGCAAAGGGGGGAGGUCAAGGUCAGGGAGGGGGAUCCAGUCCACGGGAAGCAGGGCACGAAUUAAUUUUGCUAUGAAAUUGCACGUUCUUUUCUUUUUCCCUCCCUUGUGUUCACAGAUACGAAAUAAAUCGCUGAGAUGAGGGUCUUCGUGGCAUUAAUAUGUGUGGCGACCACAGCAGGGUUAAUCGGUUUCGGCUGGAAAUGGACAAAGCCUGAAUACGGACGGAACAAACGAGGAAAGAGAGGGGAACGGGAAAACUCCAA